AGUCGCGUGGUCUAAUGGUUAUGAUUUCUCGUUCACACCGAGAAGGUUCUGAGUUCGAUCCUCAGCGCGACUA
rnacentral:tRNA from 1 species